rnacentral:rRNA from 1 species
UAACGCGUGGGUAACCGUGCCUCAUACAGGGAAUAGCAGCUGAAACGGCUGAUAAAACCGCAUAAGCGCACAGUGCCGCAUGGCACAGUGUGAAAAACUCCGGUGGUAUGAGAUGGACCCGCGUCUGAUUAGCUGGUUGGUGAGGUAACGGCCCACCAAGGCGACGAUCCAUAGCCGACCUGAGAGGGUGACCGGCCACAUUGGGACUGAGACACGGCCCAA